rnacentral:piRNA from 1 species
UCAUCAGGUCAGACUCUCAGCACACA